rnacentral:rRNA from 1 species
AGAGUUUGAUCCUGGCUCAGGAUGAACGCUGGCGGCGUGCCUAACACAUGCAAGUUGAGCGAUUUACUUCGGUAAAGAGCGGCGGACGGGUGAGUAACGCGUGGGUAACCUGCCCUGUACACACGGAUAACAUACCGAAAGGUAUGCUAAUACGAGAUAAUAUGCUUUUAUCGCAUGGUAGAAGUAUCAAAGCUUUUGCGGUACAGGAUGGACCCGCGUCUGAUUAGCUAGUUGGUAAGGUAACGGCUUACCAAGGCGACGAUCAGUAGCCGACCUGAGAGGGUGAUCGGCCACAUUGGAACUGAGACACGGUCCAAACUCCUACGGGAGGCAGCAGUGGGGAAUAUUGCACAAUGGGCGAAAGCCUGAUGCAGCAACGCCGCGUGAGCGAUGAAGGUUUUCGGAUUGUAAACUGCUUUAGACAGGGAAGAAACAAGACAGUACCUGUAGAAUAAGCUCCGGCUAACUACGUGCCAGCAGCCGCGGUAAUACGUAGGGAGCAAGCGUUAUCCGGAUUUAUUGGGUGUAAGGGGUGCGUAGACGGGAAAACAAGUUAGUUGUGAAAUCCCUCGGCUUAACUGAGGAACUGCAACUAAAACUAUUUUUCUUGAGUGCUGGAGAGGAAAGUGGAAUUCCUAGUGUAGCGGUGAAAUGCGUAGAUAUUAGGAGGAACACCAGUGGCGAAGGCGACCUUCUGGACAGUAACUGACGUUGAGGCACGAAAGUGUGGGGAGCAAACAGGAUUAGAUACCCUGGUAGUCCACACCGUAAACGAUGGAUACUAGGUGUAGGGGAUGAAUAAUCUUCUGUGCCGUCGCAAACGCAGUAAGUAUCCCACCUGGGGAGUACGGCCGCAAGGUUGAAACUCAAAGGAAUUGACGGGGGCCCGCACAAGCAGUGGAGUAUGUGGUUUAAUUCGACGCAACGCGAAGAACCUUACCAGGGCUUGACAUAUAGAGGAAUAACUAAGAGAUUAGUUAGCUCUUCGGAGUCUCUAUACAGGUGGUGCAUGGUUGUCGUCAGCUCGUGUCGUGAGAUGUUGGGUUGAGUCCCGCAACGAGCGCAACCCCUGUUCUUAGUUGCCAGCACGUUAAGGUGGGAACUCUAAGAAGACUGCCGGUGAUAAAUCGGAGGAAGGUGGGGACGACGUCAAAUCAUCAUGCCCUAUAUGUCCUGGGCUACACACGUACUACAAUGGCUAUAACAAAGGGAAGCAAAACCGCGAGGUGGAGCAAAACCCAAAAAAGUAGUCUCAGUUCGGAUUGAAGGCUGAAAUUCGCCUUCAUGAAGCCGGAAUUGCUAGUAAUGGCAGGUCAGCAUACUGCCGUGAAUACGUUCCCGGGCCUUGUACACACCGCCCGUCACACCAUGAGAGUUGGGAAUACCCGAAGCCUGUGAGCUAACUGUAAAGAGGCAGCAGUCGAAGGUAGAAUCAAUGAUUGGGGUGAAGUCGUAACAAGGUA